rnacentral:rRNA from 1 species
GAAAUGGCUACCACUUCUAAGGAAGGCAGCAGGCGCGCAAAUUACCCAAUCCCGACACGGGGAGGUAGUGACAAUAAAUAACAAUACAGGCGCUCGAUAAGAGUCUUGUAAUUGGAAUGAGUACAAUUUAAACCCCUUAACGAGUAACAAUUGGAGGGCAAGUCUGGUGCCAGCAGCCGCGGUAAUUCCAGCUCCAAUAGCGUAUAUUAAAGUUGUUGCAGUUAAAAAGCUCGUAGUUGGAUCUAGGGACGCGCAUUUCAAGCGCCCGUGUUAUCGGGUCAAACCGAUAGCGUGUUGGCGUUGCGGGCUCGGUCCGUUGGUGCCACAAAGCAUCAGCGUGUCAACCGGCCCGCCCGUCCCCUCCUUCUGGAUUCCCGUUCCUGCCAUUGAGUUAGUGGGGACGUCACAGGGGGUUCAUCGUCGUCAGCAAUGACGGCGGUGGAUCCCUGGGGCCCAGAUCGUUUACCGUGAAAAAAUUAGAGUGUUCAAAGCAGGCAGAUCCAAUUUUCUGCCACCGAAUACAUUAGCAUGGGAUAAUGGAAUAGGACCCUGUCCUCCUAUUUUCAGUUGGUUUUGCACGCGAGGACCAGGGUAAUGAUUAAUAGGGAUAGUUGGGGGCAUUAAUAUUUAAUUGUCAGAGGUGAAAUUCUUGGAUUUAUGAAAGAUUAACUUCUGCGAAAGCAUCUGCCAAGGAUGUUUUCAUUAAUCAAGAACGAAAGUUAGGGGAUCGAAGACGAUCAGAUACCGUCGUAGUCUUAACCAUAAACGAUGCCGACCAGCGAUUAGGAGACGUUGAAUACAAAACACCACCAUCGGUGCGGUCGUCCUUGGCACGUCAUGGCGCAAGCCCGUGGCGGGCGAGGGCGGUUUAGCCUGAUGGCAUCGGUGAAUGACUCCCCUAGCAGUUUGUGAGAAAUCAUAAGUCUUUGGGUUCCGGGGGGAGUAUGGUCGUGAUCCUG